ACUGAUGGUGCUACUUUGAACUGCUUUUCUUUUCUCCUUUUUGCACAAAGAGUCUCAUGUCUGAUAUUUAGACAUGAUGAGCUUUGUGCAAAAGGGGACCUGGUUACUGCUUGCUCUGCUUCAUCCCACUCUUAUUCUG
ensembl:miRNA